rnacentral:rRNA from 1 species
UACAGAGGUCUCAAGCGUUGUUCGGAUUCAUUGGGCGUAAAGGGCUCGUAGGCGGCCAACUAAGUCAGACGUGAAAUCCCCAGGCUCAACCUGGGAACUGCGUCUGAUACUGGAUGGCUUGAAUCCGGGAGAGGGAUGCAGAAUUCCAGGUGUAGCGGUGAAAUGCGUAGAUAUCUGGAGGAAUACCGGUGGCGAAGGCGGCAUCCUGGACCGGCAUUGACGCUGAGGAGCGAAAGCUAGGGGAGCAAACGGG